ACGUUAUAGUUUAUCAACACGGGAAACGUGCUUAACCUAUUUUCAAUUUAUUUGUCAGAUUAGCAUAGCAUUGUACUACGACGCAGUUUACGAAUAUUCCGAACCGAGAAUAUUACGAACAGAAACCUCAACGGAGUAAAGUGAAUAAUACCGUAUACCAUAGAGAAGACAGUAAACGAAGUAAAUAUAUGCAGAGAAGUCGCGGACGGCUUGCGUAUAUAUUUCGAUUUCGCAUAUUACCUCAUCUCCUGUUAUAUAGGACACUCGACGAGCUCCGGGUUUUCCCUAUCGAUGACGACGGUGAAUGUCUGCCAAGGAUAUGCGCCAGAAGAUGAACAAGAUCUCUUCAACAGAAAAUUGAAUCGCCCAGCAUGUCGAGUAUUUUCCGCAAGAAGUAAACUCCCCUUUGUGUCUUAUAGCAAGAAAUUCUGUGUGAGAAAAUCGAGUAUCACGUCGGCAAGAGAUUCGCGAGUGCAAGCACAAAAAAUUGUUGUUAGGCAUAAAUGUAUAAUGUUGUUUCAACGAAUGUUAACUUAUUUUUUUAUCGCGCUAGCUCUAUGAGUGACGUGUAAAUUAUUUUGUUUAAAUAUUAACACGGUCUGAGGAGUUUAGAGAUGAGAAAAGACGAAUGUUUUUUCACGUUUUGUAAAAUUCGGAUGUCCAUUGUGUCUGCACUCUCGCAGCGUUUGGAAUUUUCUCACUUUCUCAUGAUCCUCUUUAGGUAAAAGAAAAGAAAGAGUAAAUUCAAAACGCCACGAUUAACAGUAAUUAAUGUUUAAUUUCGAAGUCUGUCACUUUACAUAGUAAUAAACAAACGUCAUAGAUCAUA